rnacentral:rRNA from 1 species
UACGAAGGGGGCUAGCGUUGCUCGGAAUUACUGGGCGUAAAGGGAGCGUAGGCGGACUGUUAAGUUAGAGGUGAAAGCCCAGGGCUCAACCUUGGAAUUGCCUUUGAUACUGGCAGUCUUGAGUACGGAAGAGGUAGUGUGGAACUCCGAGUGUAGAGGUGAAAUUCGUAGAUAUUCGGAAGAACACCAGUGGCGAAGGCGACAUACUGGUCCGUUACUGACGCUGAGGCUCGAAAGCGUGGGGAGCGAACGA